GCUGAAACACCGAUUCUCGUUCGAUCACCGAAGUUAAACAACAUUGAGCUUGGUCAGUAUCUAGAUGGGUGACAGCUUAGGAAUACCAGGUGCU